GUUUACGGCCAUACCAGCCUGGGUACGCCCGAUCUCGUCUGAUCUCGGAAGCUAAGCAGGGUCGGUCCUAGUUAGUACUUGGAUGGGAGACAGCCUGGGAAUACCAGGUGCUGUAAGCU
rnacentral:rRNA from 1 species